rnacentral:rRNA from 1 species
AUGGUCGACACGGGGUUUAUCCGCGUUGACCAAACAUCGACGCCUAGGGUUUCUUACUACACAGGUGUCUGCAUAAAGGCACUUAUCGAGGAAGAUACAAUUUUAGUGAAUGGGAAAAGGUUAUAUGGCUCCAUGCCGGCCAAGGCAUCGAAUCAAGCUAUAAAUGGACACCAGUGCCAGCUGGAAGGUAUAACCGGACAGUGCAAGGCAUGGAUAAUUGAUAGGAUAGAAGAAUACCGUAAGAGCAUGGAGGAGGAAACCAGGGACUUCUACGCAGCCGGUGCAACGUCGGCUGACUUUACAGUGCACACAUUACGCGAGCACGAGGCCAAAAUGAUCCAGAAAGCUGCCAAGCAUAGAAUAGAGUUGGUGGCAUACAUGAAGGGCAAGGGUUACUACGAGCAUGUUGAAAAAUUGAAUUGUAGCUUGGAAGAAAUGUCUUCUAUGAUAGCAGGUUUGCGUUUUAGCAUGGGGAAUUGUUUCGAUGCAGUGGGCGACAGAACACUGGAAAACAAUAUGUCUAUAGAUGAAGGACAAUUUAGUAUGACAGGGAAACGUUCAUCGACAGGAGUAAACGGUAGAUACCUUCUGCUUCGACCUGGAUCAACAUCGGGUUUUGCUUUGUCGGACCUUAACAAUUCAAGUUACCGCAAUGAGCAUGAUUUGUUAGUUCAAGAAAGAGAGGAAGCAAUUUUUUUUGAAGAAAGCAGACUUUCCUUCGACAAACAUGACCAUUUGGACCAAGAUAUUGUUUACGUACCUGACAAUGCUAGGAAGAGGGCACGUGCUGUAUCUUCCAGUUCAGAUGAAGACAGUGACGAAUUUGAGCUUGAGCUACUGAAGAAACAUAUAAUUAAUGAAAAAUGUGGUACAUCACCGUUUGACAUUGGUGCAAAAUAUCCAACAUUUGGAACAGGAUCUUCGGAGUUAGCUUAUCAGAAUCUAAUAGAUUGUUCACGUACAAUCAAGUCAAGGAUAUGGGUGGAACUUGCAAGACCUACUGAAAUUAAGUUGGAUGGGAACACAAUAUUUGAGUUACUAAAGCCGGGCAGGAGGAUGAAUUAUGUCGGUUUUGAUAAGUUUUGCCGCAUUAGCCGGGAGUAUGAGUCGAGAUGGUGUUUAAGCGGCGAUAACAGCCGUUGGAGACACUUUCUGCAUCCUAUGUUGUCGGGCUCUAUUCUACACACAACGAAUCCAUGGUUUAAGAAGCCGAUAAACGACCUUUUCGUGGGUGAACACAUUGGCUACGACGUGGAGUCAUGCAAAAUGUUGUUCGGUCCAUACCAAGAAAAUGACAAGAGCUGGGUCUUAUAUAUAUUCGACCGUAUCGAAAAGAAGCUACAUGUGCUAGAUCCGGUAAGGUCUUGCCUAGGAGAGACAUAUGUGGAGGAACAUCAUGUUGGUAGAUGUUCAAUACUUAUAAAAGGAUUGACAAUGUGCUUUGAGACGUCUUUUGAAGGCAUUGACAUAGGAACCAAUGGGUGGGAGUAUAUCUUCCAUACAAAUCUGAAUGCAAAGGCAUCAAGCGAUGAUAGUGGUUACUAUGUGGUUCACUACAUGAAAUUUUUUGAUGGAUCAGAGGUCCACGAGAAGAUUAAUGCGAUGGAUCUGCAUGUAUUAAAGAGGAACCUGCUACAGCUAGCAUGCAGGAUGGAAUCAAACAUGGUGGUGGCACCCGAAUGUAUCAUCGGUUUUUAA